CAAGUCGAACGAAUCCCGUGGGGGCAACUCUGCGGGGGAAGUGGCGAAAGGGGCAGUAAUGCGUGGGUAACCUACCCCGGACUCUGGGAUAGCCUUUCUAACGAUUGGGUAAUACCGGAUGUCGUAUCGUGGUGGCAUCAUCGUGAUACGAAAGUUUCGACGGUCCGGGAGGGGCUCACGUGGUAUUAGCUAGUUGGUGGGGUAACGGCUCACCAAGGCCAAGAUGCCUAGCAGGUGUGAGAGCACGACCUGCGUCACUGGCACUGGGACACUGGCCAGACUCCUACGGGAGGCUGCAGUCGAGGAUCUUCGGCAAUGGGCGAAAGCCUGACCGAGCGACGCCGCGUGUGCGAUGAAGGCCUUCGGGUUGUAAAGCACUGUCGUGGGGGAGAAAAGCCGCAAGGCUUGAUCGACCCCAGGAGGAAGCUCGGGCUAAGUUCGUGCCAGCAGCCGCGGUAAGACGAACCGAGCAAACGUUAUUCGGAAUCACUGGGCUUAAAGGGCGCGUAGGCGGGUCGGCAAGUCAGGGGUGAAAGCCCCCAGCUCAACUGGGGAAGUGCCUUUGAUACUGCCGAUCUCGAGGGAGGUAGGGGCGUGCGGAACUUCCGGUGGAGCGGUGAAAUGCGUAGAUAUCGGAAGGAACACCGGUGGCGAAAGCGGCGCGCUGGACCUCUUCUGACGCUGAGGCGCGAAAGCCAGGGGAGCAAACGGGAUUAGAUACCCCGGUAGUCCUGGCCCUAAACGUUGGGUACUAGGUUGUGGACUUACAUGGGUUCACAGCCGAAGCAAAAGUAUUUAGUACCCCGCCUGGGGAGUAUGGUCGCAAGGCUGAAACUCAAAGGAAUU
rnacentral:rRNA from 1 species